rnacentral:rRNA from 1 species
UACGUAGGGCGCAAGCGUUGUCCGGAAUUAUUGGGCGUAGAGAGCUCGUAGGCGGUCUGUUACGUCCGCUGUGAAAACCCAGGGCUUAACCCUGGGCUUGCAGUGGAUACGGGUAGACUAGAGGCAGGUAGGGGAGAAUGGAAUUCCCGGUGUAGCGGUGAAAUGCGCAGAUAUCGGGAGGAACACCGGUGGCGAAGGCGGUUCUCUGGGCAUUACCUGACGCUGAGGAGCGAAAGUGUGGGGAGCGAACAGG